rnacentral:rRNA from 1 species
AGUGAACGCUGGCGGUAGGCCUAACACAUGCAAGUCGAACGGCAGCACAGUAAGAGCUUGCUCUUACGGGUGGCGAGUGGCGGACGGGUGAGGAAUACAUCGGAAUCUACUUUUUCGUGGGGGAUAACGUAGGGAAACUUACGCUAAUACCGCAUACGACCUACGGGUGAAAGCAGGGGAUCUUCGGACCUUGCGCGAUUGAAUGAGCCGAUGUCGGAUUAGCUAGUUGGCGGGGUAAAGGCCCACCAAGGCGACGAUCCGUAGCUGGUCUGAGAGGAUGAACCGCCAACACUGGAACUGGGAAACGGCCCGGCUCCUAACGGGAGGCGCAGUGGGGAAUAUUGGACAAUGGGCGCAAGCCUGAUCCAGCCAUACCGCGUGGGUGAAGAAGGCCUUCGGGUUGUAAAGCCCUUUUGUUGGGAAAGAAAAGCAGCAGGUUAAUACCCCGCUGUUCUGACGGUACCCAAAGAAUAAGCACCGGCUAACUUCGUG